rnacentral:rRNA from 1 species
GACGAACGCUGGCGGCGUGCUUAACACAUGCAAGUCGAACGGAAAGGCCCUGCUUUUGUGGGCUGCUCGAGUGGCGAACGGGUGAGUAACACGUGAGUAACCUGCCCUUGACUGUGGGAUAACUUCUGGAAACUGGAGCUAAUACCGCAUAGGAGCUCCUGCUGCAUGGCAGGUGCUGGAAAGUUUCGGUGGUUGGGGAUGGACUCGCGGCUUAUCAGCUUGUGGGUGGGGUAGUAGCUUACCACGGCUUUGACGGGUAGCCGGCCUGAGAGGGUGACCGGGCACAUUGGGCCUGAGGUAGGGGCCAGACUGCUACGGGAGGCAGCGGUGGGGAAUAUUGCACGAUGGGCGGAAGGCUGAUGCAGCAACGCCGCGUGCGGGAUGACGGCUUUCGGGGUGUAAACCGCUUUCGCCUGUAACGUAGCGUGAGUGACGGUAAUUUGUAAAGAAGCACCGGCUAACUACGUG